UGGGGAAUAUUGCACAAUGGGCGCAAGCCUGAUGCAGCCAUGCCGCGUGUGUGAAGAAGGCCUUCGGGUUGUAAAGCACUUUCAGCGAGGAGGAAGGUGGUGAGCUUAAUACGCUCAUCAAUUGACGUUACUCGCAGAAGAAGCACCGGCUAACUCCGUGCCAGCAGCCGCGGUAAUACGGAGGGUGCAAGCGUUAAUCGGAAUUACUGGGCGUAAAGCGCACGCAGGCGGUUUGUUAAGUCAGAUGUGAAAAUCCCCGGGCUCAACCUGGGAACUGCAUUUGAAACUGGCAAGCUAGAGUCUCGUAGAGGGGGUAGAAUUCCAGGUGUAGCGGUGAAAUGCGUAGAGAUCUGGAGGAAUACCGGUGGCGAAGGCGGCCCCCUGGACGAAGACUGACGCUCAGGUGCGAAAAGCGUGGGGAGCAAAACAGGAUUAGAUACCCUGGUAGUCCACGCUGUAAAACGAUGUCGAUUUUGGAGGUUGUGCCCCUUGAGGC
rnacentral:rRNA from 1 species